UACGUAGGGGGCAAGCGUUGUCCGGAUUUAUUGGGCGUAAAGAGCGUGUAGGCGGCUAUGCAGGUCCGCUGUGAAAACUCGAGGCUCAACCUCGAGACGUCGGUGGAAACCGCAUGGCUAGAGUUCGGUAGGGGAGACUGGAAUUCCUGGUGUAGCGGUGAAAUGCGCAGAUAUCAGGAGGAACACCGGUGGCGAAGGCGGGUCUCUGGGCCGAUACUGACGCUGAGGAGCGAAAGCGUGGGGAGCGAACAGG
rnacentral:rRNA from 1 species